GGAGGUAAAAGUCGUAACAAGGUUUCCGUAGGUGAACCUGCGGAAGGAUCAUUAUUGUAUAACCGAGGUGCGAGGGCUGUCGCUGACCCGAAAGGUCGUGCACGCCCGAGUGCCCUCACACACAUCCAUCUCACCCCUAUGUGCACCACCGCGUGGGUCCCCCUUUGGCUUGUUCGGAGGGGGGCUUACGUUUUCACACAAACUUUGUAUGCAGUGUAGAAUGUAUUUUUUGUUUUUGCGAUCACGCAAUCAAUACAACUUUCAACAACGGAUCUCUUGGCUCUC
rnacentral:misc_RNA from 1 species